rnacentral:pre_miRNA from 1 species
ACAACAUUCGGUCCGUCGGUCUACCGAGCAAUAUCACCCGCUCCGUAGAAGACUUUUGCUUUCAUCGU